rnacentral:rRNA from 1 species
UACGUAGGCAGCGAGCGUUGUUCGGAGUUACUGGGCGUAAAGGGUGUGUAGGCGGUUGUUUAAGUUUGGUGUGAAAUCUCCCGGCUCAACUGGGAGGGUGCGCCGAAUACUGAAUGACUUCGAGUACGGGAGAGGUGAGUGGAAUUCCUGGUGUAGCGGUGAAAUGCGUAGAUAUCAGGAGGAACACCGGUGGUGUAGACGGCUCACUGGACCGUAACUGGACGCUGAGACACGAAAGCGUGGGUAGCAAACAGG